CGGACGAGUGAGUAAUGUCUGGGAAACUGCCCGAUGGAGGGGGAUAACUACUGGAAACGGUAGCUAAUACCGCAUAACGUCGCAAGACCAAAGAGGGGACCUUCGGGCCUCUUGCCAUCGGAUGUGCCCAGAUGGGAUUAGCUAGUAGGUGGGGUAACGGCUCACCUAGGCGACGAUCCCUAGCUGGUCUGAGAGGAUGGCCAGCCACACUGGAACUGAGACACGGUCCAG
rnacentral:rRNA from 1 species